CGAGCGGAUGAAGGGAGCUUGCUCCUGGAUUCAGCGGCGGACGGGUGAGUAAUGCCUAGGAAUCUGCCUGGUAGUGGGGGACAACGUUUCGAAAGGAACGCUAAUACCGCAUACGUCCUACGGGAGAAAGCAGGGGACCUUCGGGCCUUGCGCUAUCAGAUGAGCCUAGGUCGGAUUAGCUAGUUGGUGAGGUAAUGGCUCACCAAGGCGACGAUCCGUAACUGGUCUGAGAGGAUGAUCAGUCACACUGGAACUGAGACACGGUCCAGACUCCUACGGGAGGCAGCAGUGGGGAAUAUUGGACAAUGGGCGAAAGCCUGAUCCAGCCAUGCCGCGUGUGUGAAGAAGGUCUUCGGAUUGUAAAGCACUUUAAGUUGGGAGGAAGGGUUGUAGAUUAAUACUCUGCAAUUUUGACGUUACCGACAGAAUAAGCACCGGCUAACUCUGUGCCAGCAGCCGCGGUAAUACAGAGGGUGCAAGCGUUAAUCGGAAUUACUGGGCGUAAAGCGCGCGUAGGUGGUUCGUUAAGUUGGAUGUGAAAUCCCCGGGCUCAACCUGGGAACUGCAUCCAAAACUGGCGAGCUAGAGUAUGGUAGAGGGUGGUGGAAUUUCCUGUGUAGCGGUGAAAUGCGUAGAUAUAGGAAGGAACACCAGUGGCGAAGGCGACCACCUGGACUGAUACUGACACUGA
rnacentral:rRNA from 2 species